rnacentral:rRNA from 1 species
UCAGUCGACUCCUACGGGGAGGCAGCAGUAGGGAAUCUUCCACAAUGGGCGCAAGCCUGAUGGAGCAACACCGCGUGAGUGAAGAAGGGUUUCGGCUCGUAAAGCUCUGUUGUUAAAGAAGAACACGUAUGAGAGUAACUGUUCAUACGUUGACGGUAUUUAACCAGAAAGUCACGGCUAACUACGUGCCAGCAGCCGCGGUAAUACGUAGGUGGCAAGCGUUAUCCGGAUUUAUUGGACGUAAAGAGAGUGCAGGCGGUUUUCUUAAGUCUGAUGUGAAAGCCUUCGGCUUAACCGGAGAAGUGCAUCGGAAACUGGAUAACUUGAGUGCAGAAGAGGGUAGUGGAACUCCAUGUGUAGCGGUGGAAUGCGUAGAUAUAUGGAAGAACACCAGUGGCGAAGGCGGCUACCUGGUCUGCAACUGACGCUGAGACUCGAAAGCAUGGGUAGCGAACAGGAUUAGAUACCCUGGUAG